rnacentral:rRNA from 1 species
GACGAACGCUGGCGGCGUGCCUAAUACAUGCAAGUCGAACGCAGUGGGGACGGGUGAGUAACACGUGGGUAACCUCCCAUCAGAGGGGAUAACACUUGGAAACAGGUGCUAAACCGAUACUGAUGGAUGGACCCGCGGUGCAUUAGCUAGUUGGUGAGGUAACGGCUCACCAAGGCCACGAUGCAUAGCCGAGCUGAGGGAGUGAUCGGCCACGCUGGGACUGAGACACGGCCCAGACUCCUACGAGAGGCAGCCGUAGGGAGUCUUCGGCAAUUAACGAAGAUCUGACCGAUCAACGCCGCGUGAGUGAAGAAGUUUUUCAGAUCGUAAAACUCUGUUGUUAGAGAAGCGGUAUCUAACCAGAAGGCCACGGCUAACUACGUGCCAGCCGCCGCGGUAAUAC